rnacentral:rRNA from 1 species
CCAGCAGCUGCGGUAAUUCCAGCUCCAAUAGCGUAUAUUAAAGUUGUUGCGGUUAAAAAGCUCGUAGUUGGAUUUCUGCUGAGAACGACCGGUCCGCCCUCUGGGUGUGUAUCUGGCUCUUUCUUGGCAUCUUCUUGGUGAACGUUGCUGCACUUGACUGUGUGGAGCGCUACCCAGGACUUUUACUUUGAGGAAAUUAGAGUGUUUCAAGCAGGCAUACGCCUUGAAUACAUUAGCAUGGAAUAAUGGAAUGGGACUUUGGUGCUAUUUCGUUGGUUAGUGGGACCGAAGUAAUGAUUAAAAGGGACAGUUGGGGCCGUUUAUAUUUCGUUGUCAGAGGUGAAAUUCUUGGAUUUACGAAAGAUAAACUUCUGCGAAAGCAUUCGGCAAGGAUGUUUUCAUUGAUCAAGAACGAAAGU